rnacentral:rRNA from 1 species
UACGAAGGGGGCUAGCGUUGCUCGGAAUUACUGGGCGUAAAGCGCACGUAGGCGGCUCUUUAAGUCAGGGGUGAAAUCCUGGAGCUCAACUCCAGAACUGCCUUUUAUACUGAGGGUCUUGAGUUCGGGAGAGGUGAGUGGAACUGCGAGUGUAGAGGUGAAAUUCGUAGAUAUUCGCAAGAACACCAGUGGCGAAGGCGGCUCACUGGCCCGAUACUGACGCUGAGGUGCGAAAGCGUGGGGAGCAAACAGG